UACGUAGGGUGCAAGCGUUGUCCGGAUUUAUUGGGUUUAAAGGGUGCGUAGGCGGCCCUGUAAGUCAGUGCUGAAAUACCCCGGCUUAACCGGGGGGGUGGCAUUGAUACUGCAGGGCUUGAGUACAGAUGAGGUAGGCGGAAUUGACGGUGUAGCGGUGAAAUGCAUAGAUAUCGUCAAGAACACCGAUAGCGAAGGCAGCUUACUGGGCUGUAACUGACGCUGAUGCACGAAAGUGUGGGGAUCAAACAGG
rnacentral:rRNA from 1 species